UGAGGAAUAUUGGUCAAUGGGCGCAAGCCUGAACCAGCCAAGUAGCGUGAGGGACGACGGCCCUAUGGGUUGUAAACCUCUUUUAUGCGGGGAUAACCGGCGCCACGGGUGGCGCCCUGCAUGUACCUUAUGAAUAAGGACCGGCUAAUUCCGUGCCAGCAGCCGCGGUAAUACGGAAGGUCCGGGCGUUAUCCGGAUUUAUUGGGUUUAAAGGGAGCGUAGGCCGGAGAUUAAGCGUGUUGUGAAAUGUAGACGCUCAACGUCUGCACUGCAGCGCGAACUGGUUUCCUUGAGUACGCACAAAGUGGGCGGAAUUCGUGGUGUAGCGGUGAAAUGCUUAGAUAUCACGAAGAACUCCGAUUGCGAAGGCAGCUCACUGGAGCGCAACUGACGCUGAAGCUCGAAAGUGCGGGGUAU
rnacentral:rRNA from 1 species